rnacentral:tRNA from 1 species
GUUCCGGGUCGUCGUCGGAUGGGGUGGCGUCGGCCUCGGGGGCCGCCUCGGGAGCUGGGCCCGGUUCCGGGCUCGGGUCCCGGCUCGGUUCGC